rfam:Salinibacter ruber DSM 13855, complete genome.
GCCCCUGUAGCUCAACUGGAGAGAGCGGUGGCCUCCUAAGCCGCAAGUCGCGGUUCGAGUCCGCGCAGGGGUA